UGGGAGGAAAUAAAAAUGAGAGUUCGACUG
rnacentral:piRNA from 1 species